CCUCAUCACAUGAUCUUCACUGUCCCAACUGUACGGCGCACUCGCAUGUGUUCAGCAUCUCCUGAAUCAGGCCCACGACCUGGCGCUCAGCCACCUGGUGGUUCAUCUCGAUGAUCUCGAGCAGCUCAGCCUGACUUCUCUGGAUAGCGCUGACCAGGGUGCUGAAGACCUGCAGGCUGCCCAGCAUUUCUGUCUCUGUAGAUUCCUGAUCAGGAACAUGAGGGAUGGGCCAGAAGAACAGCUCCACGCACUGCUGGUGCUUCUGGUUCAGUGUUGUGUGCAGGCAGUCUGACCCGCCCAACGUGAACCUCCUUAGAGCCAACCGAGAACCUGAGGCUUGAACCAGGAGUUCCUGGGCCUCGUCUGGGACC